rnacentral:rRNA from 1 species
UACGUAGGGGGCAAGCGUUGUCCGGAUUUAUUGGGCGUAAAGAGCGUGUAGGCGGCUUGGUAGGUCCGCUGUGAAAACUGGAGGCUCAACCUUCAGAGGUCGACCGAAACCAUCUGGCUAGAGUCCGGGAGAGGAGAGUGGAAUUCCUGGUGUAGCGGUGAAAUGCGCAGAUAUCGGAAGGAACACCGGUGGCGAAAGCGGCGCGCUGGAUCUCUUCUGACGCUGAGGCGCGAAAGCCAGGGGAGCGAACGGG